CACGCUGUAAACGAUGAUUACUGGGUGUAGGGAGUAUCGACUCUCUCUGUGCCGAAGCAAACGCGAUAAGUAAUCCACCUGGGGAGUACGGCCGCAAGGCUAAAACUCAAAGGAAUUGACGGGGACCCGCACAAGCAGUGGAGUAUGUGGUUUAAUUCGAGGCAACGCGAAGAACCUUACCAGGGUUUGACAUCCUGCGCAAGACCUAGAGAUAGGUUGUUCCUUCGGGACGCAGAGACAGGUGG
rnacentral:rRNA from 2 species